rnacentral:rRNA from 1 species
CUAAUACAUGCAAGUCGAGCGCGGGAAGCAGAAAGAUUCCUUCGGGAUGACAUCUGUGGAACGAGCGGCGAAUGGGUGAGUAACACGUGGGCAACCUGCCUGUAAGACUGGGAUAACUCCGGGAAACCGGGGCUAAUACCGGAUAAGACUUUAUCUCGCAUGAGAUAGAGAUGAAAGAUGGCUUUUAGCUAUCACUUACAGAUGGGCCUGCGGCGCAUUAGCUAGUUGGUGGGGUAAUGGCCUACCAAAGCAACGAUGCGUAGCCGACCUGAGAGGGUGAUCGGCCACACUGGGACUGAGACACGGCCCAGACUCCUACGGGAGGCAGCAGUAGGGAAUCUUCCGCAAUGGACGCAAGUCUGACGGAGCAACGCCGCGUGAGUGAGGAAGGUCUUCGGAUCGUAAAACUCUGUUGUUAGGGAAGAACACGUACGAGAGUCACUGCUCGUACCUUGACGGUACCUAACCAGAAAGCCACGGCUAACUACGUGCCAGCAGCCGCGGUAAUACGUAGGUGGCAAGCGUUGUCCGGAAUUAUUGGGCGUAAAGCGCGCGCAGGCGGCUUCUUAAGUCUGAUGUGAAAUCUCGCGGCUCAACCGUGAGCGGUCAUUGGAAACUGGGGAGCUUGAGUACAGAAGAGGAGAGCGGAAUUCCACGUGUAGCGGUGAAAUGCGUAGAGAUGUGGAGGAACACCAGUGGCGAAGGCGG